CUAUAUAAUUUAAAUAGAAUAUUGCACUGAAGAUGCAGGGGAGGUGAUUAUCAUCUAUAGAUAAA
rnacentral:tRNA from 1 species